rnacentral:RNase_P_RNA from 1 species
CAGGGCCGGGGUCUCGUCGCUUGUCCACGCAUGAGGGACAAGAGGAAAGUCCGGGCAACACAGAGCGCCAUACUUGUUAACGGCAAGCUGUCCGUGAGGGCAGAGUAGCGUGACAGAAAACAACCGCCGGCUUCAUCACGAGGUCGGUAAGGGUGAAAAGGUGAGGUAAGAGCUCACCGGGCGUUAUGGCAACAUAGCGCGCCGCACGUCUUAUGGGUUGCAAGGUCAAGUAUACCGGCAUUUAAGGGUGGCUCGCCCAUUGUCGGGGGGUAGACUGCUAAAGGACCGUGGUGACACGCGCCCGUAGAUAAAUGACGAGAAGUGACAGACAGGUCAGCUCACGCUCGAAACCGGCUUCACUACAUAACCCGGCUUAUACCCGGCCCUGCUUA